CUGGCUCUUCUCUGGUCUCGGAACCAAGUUUUGUUUCAGAGUUGACUUAUAUAAACAUAGGAAUGAGAUUAUUUAUGCUCAUCGAGCAUGAGGAAAGAAAAGAAAGUACCACUAUCCAUCCAUUCUGGCCAUAAAAAAUGCUCUGUCUCUGAUUCAUGUCACCCCUUUAAUAUCAAGGAAUUGUGUAAUAAUCUUCAACACAAGUCUAUGAUUGAUUUCUUAUACCAAUCAGCCUGUCAACUUCAGCAAGAGACCAUACAAGUGGAAAAGUAAGACAGUAAGUUGGAUUAAUCAAGCAGAGAAAGGAGUUGAAAGCCAUAGCUGGGUCUGCAAACUGAAGCCUUCUCUAAAUUCUCAGAAAUUCUGGAAGAAAAUGUUGGAAAUUCCUCAGGAAAUGGAAAGUUUCUCUUGCUGCCAUGAUGUAAGAAGUGCCUUUCACCUCUCACCAUGAUUCUGAGCCCUCCCCAGCCAUGUGGAACUACUAACCAAUAUAAUUAGCCAAUUAACAAAAAGAAAAGAAAAGAAAAGAAAAGAAAAAGAAGCCACGUGUUUUUAUUUGGAGAUGAGAGCAUCCAGUUUCACAUCACUACUGAACACAUGUUUGCUGCAGUUUACUAGAGGUCCACUUCAGACCCUCUUUGCCUGGGUAUCACCAGUGGAGGCUGCAGAACAGCCAAGAUUGCUGCCUGCUUCUUCCUCUGGAAGCUUCGUCCCAGAGGGACACCAGGCUGAUGCCAGCUGGAGCUCUCCUGUAUGAGGUGUCUGUCAGUCCCUGCUGGGAGGUCUCUCCCAGUCAGGAGGCUUGGGGGAUCAGGGACCCACUUGAGGAGGCAGUCUGUCCCUUAGCAGAGCUUGAGCACUAUGCUGGGAGAAUACUCCUUGUCAGGAUCAGCUGCUCUCUUCAGAGCCAGCAGGCAGGAAAGUUUAAGUCUGCUGAAGCUGUCCCCACAGCCGCCCCUUCCCCCAGGUGCUCUGUCCCAGGGAGAUGGGAGUUUUAUCUAUAAGCCCCUGACUGGCAUUUCUUUCAGAGAUGCCCUGCUGAGUGACGAGGAAUCCAGAGAGGCAGUCCGGCCACAGCCACUUUGCCACGCUGUGUUGAGUUCUGCCCAGUCCAAACUUCCAGGCCCCCUUAGCACUAUCAGGGGAAAACCACCUACUCAAGCCUCAGUAAUGGUGGACGCCCCUCCUCCUACCAAGCUCUAUCAUUCCAGGUUGACUUCAGACUGCUGAGCUGGCAGUGAGAAUUUCAAGCCAGUGGUUCUUAUCUUGCUGGGCACUGUGGGAGUGGGACCUGCUCGCUGAGUGAGACCACUUGGCUCCCUGGCUUCAGCCCCCUUUCCAGGGGAGUGAACGGUUCUGCCCCACUGGGGUUCCAGGAGCCACUGGGGUACAAGAAAAAAAAAAAAAAACUUCUGCAGCUAACUCAGCGUCUGCCCAAAUAACCGCCCAGUUUUGUGCUUGAAACCCAGAACCCUGGUGGUGUAGGCACACUAGGGAAUCUCCUGACCUGUGGAUUGCAAAAACCCUGGGAAAAGCGUAGUACCCAGGCCAGAUAGCACAGUCCCUCACAGCUUCCCUUUGGGUGGAGGAGGGAGGUCCCUGGCUCCUUACACUUUCCGGUGAGGUGACGCCCCACUUUGCUUCUGUUUGCCCUCUGUGGGCUGCACCCACUGCCUAACCAGUCCCAAUGAGAUGAACUGGGUACCUCAGAUAGAAAUGCAGAAAUCACCUGCCUUCUGCAUUGGUCUUGCUGGGAGCUGCAGACUGGAGCCAUCUUGCCAGAUUGAGUAAUUUCUUUCAACUUAGCUUUCUAAUCAAUUGUUAAAACAUGCAUAAUUAUUUAAAUAUUGGCAUAUGUAAAUUUGGAAGUACGGCAGUAUGGAAUAAACUAUUUUAUCCAACAUUUGAGGGAUAAUGCAUGUAAGACCAGGUGUAAUUCUCAUUUAAUUAAUAUCAGGCUCAUCAGUCUAUGCAGUUCCAUUUUCAAUAUUGACAUGUAUAAACAACAGAUGCAAAGCCUAUACACAUUCAAUAAAUUUUUUAUGACAUUAUUAUGCUCAUUAUGGAAGAG
rnacentral:lncRNA from 1 species